CUGGCUUAAGAAUGAAUGUCUGACCUCCUCGUCUUCAGCUAUUUUGAAACUGAGUCAUACAGGAAACUAUGAUAUUCUGUAAUGGUGCACUGUGUAAGGACCAGGAAAGUAGUUGCCGUCUCCGUGUGCCGAUUUCCACUUGGCCUGCAGACACUAUCCAGGGAUCAACUGUGGACUGCAAACUGCUGAGCUAUGGACCUUGCUGACAGCGGAUAUGGACCAGUUCAGCCAAUGGGAUGGCUCCCUGUCUCUUCAGCUGGGUCAGCUAACCAGACGCUGCUGACAAACAUCCUAUUGGAUCCUACUGAAUCCCUUCCUAGGCUUUGACUAGCCUUUUAGCCUUCCUGGGCUUAGUCUUAGUUUCAGCUGAAAGUAGUUGCAGGUGGAUACAUCAUCCCUCAUCCCCUUACAGGCUGAAAUGCUUACUCAAAACAAAGCACCCUGGCAUAGGGAACAAAAUAGCUACCUUUAAUACCAACUGGCAUACCAGGAAAAUGGGCCCAGAUUUAUAAACAGGUUGAUUCAUUAACUAAAAUAGUUCUACAAUAUGAUAGGGUAUUUGGCCUGAUUUAUGUAGAACAUGGAGACAUAUAGCUUUAAGAGAAAAUGAUUGUUUCUACAAAAACCAUUUGGGUUGUAAUCUGGCUCCACUCAAAAAAACGUUGCAAAAGGGGGACUGAAAUGAAAAAAAAAAAUGACUGAUGUCCUGUUCAUUUCCAGGCUUUCUAAAUAGUAACUGAUGUCAGGUAUCACAGGGCCUUUGACCCUUCUGUUUCCUAUCUGGGUACCAUUAAGCUGAUGGCUAUUACAUCCCAAUAUAAAAGGUAUCCAUCAUAGAAUCAAGGAUUUAACUCAGGAUACAACUCAAGCGGGGAAUGUACUAGCCAAAGUUAACCUGUAAGCCCAACUUGCCUAAGGACAAGACAAUUUCCUGGAAAGCUGGGAGUUGUAGUUCUUGGGACAUAGCAAGCCACAUGUUUUCACUCCCCCAAACAAGUUUGUUUGAUUAUCUGCACUGGAUGUGCUUGAUCACAUGUGGGUGGGAGGUUCACUGGCAGGAAAUACAUCAAGAUGUAUCCUUGACCCUGAUUGGACCAGAUGGGAAAUGCAGUGAAUUAUGGGUUUUGCCUUUUUAAGCCCCAUGCAAAACAUGACCCUUAGCCAUUCCCUGGGAACCCAGGGGUGGUCCUGGCUGGAAUCCUUCUUCCUGGCCAGUAUUUAAUUAAAGCUUGCUUCAAAUUUGACUCAAAUCUGUGGAACUAGUUUAUCUCUCACGAAUCUCAGGAUUAACACAGGCACAUGCAGCCAAGUUUGUUUUUUUUAUGUGAGUGCUGGA
rnacentral:lncRNA from 1 species